rnacentral:rRNA from 1 species
CCUACGGGUGGCAGCAGUGGGGAAUAUUGGGCAAUGGGCGCAAGCCUGACCCAGCAACGCCGCGUGAAGGAAGAAGGCUCUCGGGUUGUAAACUUCCUUUAAGAGGGAAGAGCAGAAGACGGUACCUCUUGAAUAAGCCAUGGCUCACUACGUGCCAGCAGCCGCGGUAAUACGUAGGUGGCAAGCGUUGUCCGGAUUUACUGGGUGUAAAGGGCGUGUAGCCGGGCUGACAAGUCAGAUGUGAAAGCCCGGGGCUCAACCACGGAACUGCCUUUGAAACUGUCGGUCUUGAGUAUCGGAGAGGCAGGCGGAAUGCCUAGUGUAGCGGUGAAAUGCGUAGAUAUUAGGCGGAACGCCAGUGGCGAAGGCGGCCUGCUGGACGACAACUGACGUUGAGGCUCGAAAGCGUGGGGAGCGAACAGGAUUAGAUACCCCGGUAGUC